ensembl:lncRNA
GGGGGUUUGGCCGAAGGGCUUCUAUUCUUUAGCUGGUAAUCAAAAUGAAGCUGAAAUGAAAUGGAGGUUUCUUAUGAAAAUAGCCUUUGUUGACUGGAAGGCUGGUAAUUCAUAAACAAUACGUAAGGCUUUUGUGAACAUAAUAACAUAUUCAUGCUCUCAGAGAAAAGGAAGGAACAGGAGAGAGAGAGAGAAAGAGAGGCAGUGUGGCAGUGAAUAAAGGGCUACAGAGAUUUGGCUUAUGCGCGUCUCAACUACUGGCAGAGCAAUAACUGAUGUUACUCUGUGUCACCUCUCUCUUGUUCUGUCUCACAUUGUCAUUUUCUCUCUUUCAUAGUCUCUCUCUCUCUCUUUCAAUACCUUGCUUGUCACUGGCUUUUGGCAUUUGACAUGAAUACCAGAGACUGGAGGUAGUGGGCAGAACAGGCAGCAGUUGCUUCAGAUGAACUCUGUAUUACCUGCAGAGGAGCUCAGUGCCGGAUUGGAGGCAGCGUGGAGCAUCAGCAGGUUCAAAUGAACGUGGUCUUCAUAAAAAGAUCUAAACAUGCAUUGGAUUUAUUUGCUGGAAUGAAGGUGAAUUUCUGUGGGAUAACGUUCCAGACAGGACACUCUACUUGUCAGAUCACCUGGGAAGGAAAGAUGAGAAGGUUUCUUCUGUUUUAUCAGUGUUUUCACAGUUAUGUGUUCAAGCAUCCUCACUAACAGGUUGUGGAAGCAGUCAUUGGAGAACUGAGGUGAGAAUCAGCAGUCAUACUAACUAAUGAUGAUACGGUGAAGGAUGAUGUAGUAAUGAGUAAAAGGGCAUGAAAUGACAGUGAGUAAUGCAGUGUGUAAUUGCAAGUCUAUCAAGAGGCAACGAGACAGCAGGCUUGCGCCGAGGGAACCAUUGACAUCCUGCCCAUUUGCCUGGGGGUGCACUUUAACAUGACCCCAAUAGAAAAAAAUGGACAAUUUAAAGACUUCAAGUGCAACCCUGCAGGCUGCACACCAAUUAAGGUGUCCUGAUGGAUUCACAGGCAAUCCAGUGUAAUAUGAGUCCAUCUGUGAGACUCAGCUCUCUCUCUCACUCUUUUUAUCUUUUCAAAUUUCUCU